rnacentral:rRNA from 1 species
CAGUCGCCACGGUAAUACGUAGGGUGCAAGCGUUAAUCGGAAUUACUGGGCGUAAAGCGUGCGCAGGCGGUUAUAUAAGUCAGAUGUGAAAUCCCCGGGCUCAACCUGGGACCUGCAUUUGUGACUGUAUAGCUGGAGUACGGUAGAGGGGGAUGGAAUUCCGCGUGUAGCAGUGAAAUGCGUAGAGAUGUGGAGGAACACCGAUGGCGAAGGCAGCCCCCUGGGCCAAUACUGACGCCCAUGCACGAAAGCGUGGGGAGCAAACAGGAUUAGAUACCCCUGUAGUCCCUGUCUCUUAUAC